rnacentral:rRNA from 1 species
UCCGGGAGGACAGGUGGUGCAUGGUUGUCGUCAGCUCGUGUCGUGAGAUGUUGGGUUAAGUCCCGCAACGAGCGCAACCCUUAUUGCUAGUUACCAUCAUUGAGUUGGGGACUCUAGCGAGACUGCCAGCGAUAAGCUGGAGGAAGGUGGGGAUGACGUCAAAUCAUCAUGCCCCUUAUGACCUGGGCUACAAACGUGAUACAAUGGCUGGAACAAAGGGAGGCGAAGGGGUGACCUGGAGCGAAACCCAAAAAUACAGUCUCAGUUCGGAUUGAAGUCUGCAACUCGACUUCAUGAAGUCGGAAUCGCUAGUAAUCGCGGAUCAGAACGCCGCGGUGAAUACGUUCUCGGGGUUU